rnacentral:lncRNA from 1 species
ACGCUGCGUCCAAGCUGUCAGAGGUUCUAUUUUUCGGACCUCAGAUGGUGCUACAUGAAGUCGGAACUUGGUGUAGAUGAAUUGUUUAAAUUUCAUUAUUUUUCCUUCUUAAGGCUUACUAGACCAUUUGCAUGGCGUUCAGGUCUGGGUCCUGAGAUCCCUGAAGACCUGUACCACUUGAUCAAGAAGGCCGUUGCCGUGCGUAAGCAUUUGGAGAGGAACCGCAAAGAUAAGGAUUCCAAGUUCCGUUUGAUUUUGAUCGAGAGCCGUGUACACCGGUUAGCUCGCUACUACAAGCGCACAAAGAAGCUUCCCCCCACCUGGAAGUAGUAAGUUACCAUAUCCACACUGACUUCGUAGGCUUCUGUUUGCACCAUCUUCCACUUUUUUAUAAUUCUCACAUUUAGGUACUCUAAAAACAUAUCUUUUUGCACCUAAGUCAAUAAAUGGAAAGAAGAAUAGAAUUGAGUAGACUCUUAUCUGACAGGAGUAGUUUCCCGUUUCAUGACUCCGACUGGUGAGACCUUUUAGUUCAAGCACUCCACAUGUCCUUCAAGUCUGUCUCAUGAAUAAUCUCCAUUGAACUGAGCUAUGAAAUAUUUGUGUUUGUGUGCAGUGAGUCUGCCACCGCCAGUACACUCGUUGCUUAGGUGAAGAGGCCACUCGAUUGCCUCCAGAUUGAAGAAGCUCUUGCGGCGACACCUAGCUUUGCAUUCCAACUGUGUACUGAACAAAGACAUGCGUUAAUUGAAACACUCCGUCUUCAGGUUGCCACUGUUAGUAUUUGUGAAACUUUGCACUGAAAUCGGAUUUUUUACUGUUAUAUUUGCCUGAAAUAUACUGCCCAGAUCUUUCUUAUUGCACUUCUGGGAGAUUUCGAACUUUCAACUCCUCAAUGUCGUGGAUUCUACCUGAUGUUUAAUGUAGAAGUACAUGCCAGCUUUCGAAGCCAAAAUUUUGUAUUGCCACGUUUGCAUGAACUCUGCCAGUAAAAUAGUGAUGUACAUGGCUUGAAUAUAUGUGAGAAAUUGAUAUAAUUGUGGAAUAAUUUUAUUUUUUAACAAUGGUAAUCUUCACUUCCUUUUUCAAGCCACUUCGCAAAAACUAGGUUGAUGCUAUUUAUUAUGUUUCUCAUUGAUGUUAAAGCAACCUGUCACUCAAAUUUUGUGAAAGAAUAAGUGUCACCAGUCCAGUAGAAAACAUAAUAUUCAGUUCACCGAAUGAGCGGUAAAAUGUGCCAAAAAAUACAAUAUCGAAAAAGUUUUCUUACAUAUGAAAAGGUUCAAGAAUCGUAAGUUACUGACAAUUCACUAAGCACAUACAGUAGGAGUAUGUGUCCAGUUACAUUUUGUUAAUUUGUGAAAACACAAUUUUACAGGUGCGUGAACACUGGGGCAAUAUCUUCAUCAUAUAACUUGAAAGAACUGAACCGAAUUAUCUCGUUGCACGCGGUCAUUGUCCAGAACAAUUUGAAUAUCACCAUUAAUGUGAAAGUACAGCAAAAACAGUAAAGAUAUUUAGAAUGUGAGGUUUACUCAUUUACUACAACCCAGUAGCAUGCAUGCUUAGCAAAUCGAUAAAAAGGCAUACUCUAAAUACAAUUGAACUUGUAAAAUUUUUGUGCGAAAAAGGACAGAUUAAAAUGCACUUAAAUUUUUGAAAACAUAAAUUCUUCAAAUUUGAAAACAUAAAUUCUUCAAUUUUAAUUUAUAAUUUUUUUUUCAAAUUACAUAGAAAUUAAAAUUAAUUUCAAUAAAAAUCGAUUAAAAAGUUAGUAAAAAAAAGUUGGGAUGGCAAUAACAAAAACUAUGGUGGCAUUAGCAACUCCUUACAUUUGUUAUGUUUGUUGUAUACAAAUAAUGUCCACUAGGUUCUUAUAAUUUAACUUGAUAAAUUUACCAACACAAAUUAUAUCAUAUCUUCAAUGUCUCUCUUCCUGGCAUUGUUUGGAAGAACACUUAAGUGUACUCGGUGUGACUUCUCUGGUCUUCUCUACUCCAUGGUUGCAUAGUUAGGUUGUCCUCUCUCAACACUAUGAAGGAUCUUAACCAUUAGGGAAGGCAUCUCUUGCCCUCAUCUGGAUUCAACUCCCUUCAAACAAUAUAAGUCACUCUUGGAUUGAUUAGCAAUGAAUGUAAAUUGUCUCAUACAUGUCGUUUGAAUUAACACCUUGUAACAAAGCUACUACACUACCUUAGGAUUGUUUUAUGCUAACGAAACAUUAAAUGUGGUGAGAGCCUAGAAACACCAUGUUUCGUAAGCCCUCCUAAGAAUCUCGUCUUCACCACUCUCCAAAUUGGUGUGGGCUUCAACAUGGUGGAUAUUUUGUAACUUCUUCUUCCUCUCAAAAACACAAAGAUCAUUUCAAGGCUUUGCCAAAUUUGAAUAGAUACCUAAAUUUGAUUGAUAAGAGAAAAAUAAUGCACAAUAUUUGUCCACUCAAAUAGCUACUACAUCUACAAUAACCACACUACAAUGAUCUUCUACAUUGAUGUUUAUUUCAAUCCCAGCCUAUCCUAUUCUAUCUUCUUCCUUCUAAAUCAAACAAAUUCUUAUUUUGCUGGUUGAGGUUAUUAAAGCCUUUGGUUCCUAACUUGGCGUCAUCACUGUAAUAAAUACUAAUUUAGAAGCUACACUAAUUAUUAAAGUAGUAGCUUCUCUAUACGUUGUUAAAAUCAGUCUACCUAUUGUAGAUGCUAGAUCCUUCUUAUAGUUUUAAUUCUCCUAGAUAGUCUCUUUAUUUCUCCACAGAUUUAUCUCUUUAGGGAUAUGCUUUAAUUCAAUAAUCAUCCAUUUUAAAAAUCAAGACAUGACUUGUUAUUUUAAUGGGGGUAAGAUUCUUCAUGCUUUAGAUCCCGUUGAGCAACCUCUUUGAGCUGACACCAUUCCUAGCAACGUCAAGUUGUCAACUGGCCUACAGUUUGAUCCCAAAGCUAAGUCUUGGUUAUCAACGCAAAAUUAACCAUAUGAAAUUUGCAUAGCUCUUUGACUCAAAUUGCUUAAAUAUUGGCCACGGCAACUUGAGCGUUGGCACGCCAUAACUCUUCCUUAGAUUGCCGGAGCUCUUUUAUAAGGACUUUCAUUAGCACCAUUAGCAUGUUUAUUCUCUGGGACAAGCUUGUACAACAAUAAUAAUGUGUGGAUCACAUGGGUUACAAUCUUCUUAGGAUACGGAAAGAACGGCUCAAAUGCAGACACAUUACCAAUAAUUGAAUCAAAUGAAACUGGCAUUUACCACCGACAGUAGACUCCGAUGAAACUGGCAUCGGCAAACAAGAGGUGACUGAGUUAGAACUGGAGUCGACUGCCCACAAAUUGAUGUGGCUGGAGCCCACUUGAGCUCGGUGAGAACCUUCACUCCCCUGUUCUGUAGUGUUUGAAACUCAAAGAGAAAUAGGGAGUGUGUAUUCUAAUCCCCAGCAGGUGAUACCUCCUCGUCGUCUCGAAUCCUGGCCUUGCCUGCAACUCAGGUUCCAUGGAUUUAUGAGUUUGUUCAUGGACCUUGCGCCAGUUCUACUAAGAGCUACUAGGUUGACGGAGUUUAAUGAACGAUAUGGCUUGACCACCUCAUCUCAUGUGGCUGUGCUCGUACGGACCUAUUCGAGCGUGUCACAGACAAAACAGAGCUUCGAACAGGUCCUUACGAGCACAGAGCGUGUGGUAUGAACUUGCUCGAUGAAAGGAGGCCGACAGUUUACUUGACUAUGGAAAUUCACUCCAGGGGGGGGGGGGGGGUUCUUCGUUGGCCAGUCAGUGCAUGUAUCCGUAAAACGCCUUCUGCAUUGGCUUGCUCGUGAAAAACUCUUCAGGAGAAAGUAGUUCAUUUCAUCUAAAUCACUAUUGAAAACCGUUGCGUCGGUGACUUGCCUGGUGCUCGUUUCCAACUGAAAGCCAGGCAGGAGCUUGUAUAGAUAUUUCAUGUUUUCCGCUUGGUCCUGACUACAUGCUCGAGUACUUCAGGUUGCUGCAGGGUAACCCGAGUGCAAGUGCGCAAAAUGCACUGGGAAGAAACCAACAAGGAAUCAAGCGUCACAGGAUCGAAAUCAUGUGGAAUCGCAAAAUUGCUCCUGUUUCUCUUCUGGCUGAUGAGCUUCAUCCUCUCCUGUGGUUGCCAGUCGGAGUCACGGAGCACUAUCGCCUCCAACUCCAUCAUGAUGUCCAACAUAACAUUGGUAUCGCCAGGAGGUUUUUUCUGAGUUUGUUCUUGUCAUCUACCAUGAAGGAGGUAGGCCAAGAUUGUGUGAUGCUCUUUCUUGCUCACCCUCUAUCAUGUGCAGCAUGUUGUUGAAUCCAUGCUAAUCCAGGUCCUUCAUUCUUCAAAUAGUCAUAGUUAGCAUGCCCAAGAUUUGACUUUUGGACAUCAAGCUAUGUAGAGAGACCACUCAACAUGGGUUGUGGAUUUGAUUGAGCAAUUUUGUUGGAGUGUGAAGUGUGAUAACAUGUUUCGCAUUCAACAAGAUUUGAUUCAAAUAUCAGAAUUGGGAGCUGGGGGGGAAAAGAUUACUCACAACAUGGAAGAACACGGAAGGGGCCGGGUGGAAUUAAGAACAAGGAAGAGGUCGGGUGGGAUUAGGAAUAGGAAAGGGGUCAGGAUGCAGUUCGGGAACUUGGGAUACAAAGAUGAGGGACAAAAGGGGUGCAAUGAUGACUAAGAUAGAAGGCUAAGAUAGAGUGGGUCACUUUAGUAAAAAUUUGGAUCUCUUUAUUAUUCCCCUAUAUAUAUUACAUUCAGUCACAAGACAGUCAUGCCCCUGGAAUGCUAUACCAUUUGAAAAACGAAGUAUUUUAAUUUGAAAAUAAAGGCAAAUUUUAUAUUUUGAAAAAGUGACACAGUUGCUGAAUUAUUUGAAUACUCUAGUGAACGAUACGCGUUCAAAUAAAUGACACCCUCAGUAAGUCCUACGACGCUCUACAAGAGGCCAUGAAACCUCUGAAACAGUCCCACCAGGUCUCUACUCUGAGGUCGAUUUCUUUAAAUAAGCGAUUAGAUCUGCACGUUCUUGAGGUUUUUUCAAACCAGGGAAUACCAUCUUCGUACCAGGAAUAUACUGCAGCCAUCACUCCACGCGCAAUACGUUAGACAUGAACAUUGCAUUUAGUUCUAUGUUAUAUUUUAGAGCUAGUUGCUAGUUCAAUUCAAAUCCUCGUCGUCGUGUCUAACUACAAGAACAGAAAGCAAGAGUACAAAAUGACUGCCUCCAACUGCGUUUGGACCUUUGAACACAUCUGACAGGCAACAGACUAACCUUCUUAGGAUUCAAUAGGUACUCGUAUAGAUGCUCCUCGUUCCAAUCAACAGCCUUGUCCCUGUUAGCUUUCGAGUAAGUGUACCCAGCUGUAGUUCCCGACGUCCUCCCGAACAAACCAUGCAAGUUAGGUCCUGCAUGUCAAUUCAAUAACGCGUCAUACACCGCCCGCAGAAUCAAGAAACAAACAGAACGCAUCUAGGCUGCUAACUUCAGAAUCCUUCCACAACGCCAUCCAUAAUAGAAAUAUAAGUACAGUACGCAGAAAAAAAAAAUAUCAAAAUGAUAGAUCUCAUCCUUGAGCUCAGAAUCCUCUAUGGUUUCAACAAAGAAAAUCUGGUGAAACAUGCAUACCACUAAAUUCUACUCAAAGAACUGUCAAACUAGACUGCGUAGAAAAUGAGUUGUACUUCACCGCCUCUGAAUUCGCAAAAUGUCAAAUGAUGCUAUCGCGAGCACAGAAGCAAUAAAAACCACAAAAAUACACACACCACAGUUCCUUCAACUUAAGGACACUGAGCUUCAAAACUAUCUGUACAAUAAAAAGAAAGGCAAAAAAAAUACUAUUAGAAGUAUGUACAUAGCGUAAGUCUAACUCCUCGCUCAAGUACGGAAGGGAAAUACUUACAGGAGGAUAAUUGGGACAAGUUAGGUCCUUCACUCUCGACGGAACUACUCAUAACCUAAAGCAAUUGUUCAUACUGUAGAACAUUAUAAGACAACCUGGUCCUUUGGUGGAUCCGAUUAAAAGUCUUUAGGCUCUUAGACUUAAAAUUUACAUUAGACCUCCCUGAUUAUGUCGAGAUACAGUUUGAAAAGAACCCACGGAAUAAAAUCGAGCACCAUGUCCAAGUUCCAACAGUUUUUCUCUAUUGAAAAUAAAAAUAAAAAUAAACUAUCAAAUUAGAUACAAGUCGCGCUCAAGAUAACAUUGAAAUCACAUCGUCAUAUACAUGACUAUCUAAAGGAGCCACAAAUUCAAGAAAUAAACUCAGCAAUUUCUGGUCUAAUCAAGAAAAACCAAGCCCGUACAUAGACGUAAUCGGAUUCAUUCUAUCUGAACCAUGCGAUCGAUGCUCAAAUGAGUAGGAAUACAACUCUACGACCAACAAACCAUGAAGGGAACCCAAUCUGCACAACGAGAACUUCUAUCCAUAGUAUAAGCUAACACACUCCAGGUCUCUUCACCUCUCCGGAUCUCUUCCAGCUCAACCACAAACACACCCAUGUACUUCACAACCCCCAUAAAAACACAACCCACAAACAGCGAGAGCUAACAAUACCCAAUCUCAAUCCACAAACAACCCAUAAAGGAAACUUAGGGCGACGCCAUCAAGAAGGGCAGUCCAUGUAACAGAACCACAUCGGGAUAGAGAGAGAGACGAGUACCUUGCUUGUGGCCAGCGGACUUCUCAACAGCGUGACAUUGCGCGCACUUGGUCUUGAAGAUCUUCUCACCGGCCUUCUCGUUACCCUUGGGGGCCUCAGCGAAAGAGGCCAUGGCGGACUAGAAGAAACACAGAGACACACACACACACAUACACUAGAGAUUCAGGACAACCGCAGAAACACGAGACAACCGCAGCAACAACGAGACGCAGCAGAACACAGUCGGAGAGCCCCAAUUAUGGAACCAAACUAAGGCGAAGGCGAAGGACUGGCUUGGCCGAGGGAGGGCAAUGGCUUCCAGGGAACUUGGUCGCCGUUGAUUAGCGCUGCGAUGGUGACGCGGCGAGUUCCGGAGUGCACUCGCGCCGUCAAGAAGCUUCGCGGAGACUGCAACCGGGCUCGCCACCACGUGGACCCUUUCGGCGUCAACCAACUCUCGUGCUUGCCUCCCUUCCACCUCGCUUACGUGGCGCUUUUCAAGAGCUAACGUGGCCGUUUGCGACUGACCACACAUGUUUUCCUUUGUAUUUUACGAGGCGAAUGUUUUCACUUCAAAAGCAUGAACAAUUUCCAUGGUGACCAAAUUAUUGGUGUUUAUCCUUUGUGAUUGUAAUGCUGUUCUUCAAUAUUUUCGGAAAAUUUUAUUUUUCAAUACAAUCUAGAUUAAAUAAAAAGUUUCUAAGGUUGUAUGAAAUUAUUGCAAUCAAUGCACUGAUGUACAAUUAUAUUGUGUUAAUAAAAUCUGUGCCCAAUUCACUUUUCUUUUUAUAACCUUUAACUAUUAAAAAUCUUCAAAAAAAAGUGUCAUAUUGUAAAUCUCUUUUGGAAGUCACUAAUUUUUUAAUACAGAUGUUAAAUUUCUAUAAUCCGUUUAUAUUUUUUUAUGUUGAUUUUGACAUGAAAUGAGAAAAAUAAAAAAAAUAAACUGAAAAUCCUAAAGGUGUAGAGCAAAAAUAUUCUUUUAGUGAAGAAAAAUCCAAAUCAUUGCAAUGACAAUUAAGAAUUUAUGACAUACUAUGCAGAAUCAAUUGUACUUUUUAGCAAUAAUAUGUGAUGAUUUUUUGAUCUUAUUAUUGUUUGUAUUCUUAUAGCACAAUAUAUCUAUCUUUAUUGAUAUGUAUAUAUAUAUAUAUAUAUAUAUAUGUUCCAUCAAUAUAGCAAUUUGUAACAAAAAUAAAUAAGUAAAUAUAAAAAUAAGCAAUUUUAUUUAAUAUAAUUUCUUUAUUUAAAUUCUCCAUAUAUUUUUGAAAAAACCAAGAGAAUUAUCCAUUUAUAUUAAAUGCUUAAUAACUAACAUUUAUAUUUCUAUUAACUUUACAACUUUGGAUUUUAAAUCACUUUAAAAUGUUUAGUCACAAAUUGUGAUAUUCUAAUUAUUUUAGCCAUUUAAAUAUCAAUAUUACAAAAUAGUCUUAAUUUUAUUUUUUCCAUUUUUUAUAAAAAAACAUUGCAAGUCUUGAUUCUAGGUAAAAUCAUUUAUUCAUCUUAUAAGCAUUCAACAAAAACCUUUAAAAAUUCAAAAUCGGCUUUAUUAAAAUCAAUGUCUUUUAUGGUUAUUAAUGUGAUUUUAUCUUUAAAAUAUAUAUAGUAAUAUGAAUUUUUUCAUAAUUUUAAAUUUUCUAUUUAAAUAUAUUUUAAUAUGAAUAUAUUUAAAAUAAACUAAAAUUUAAACAUCAAAAUUUUUAUUCUUUAAUUCAAAUAAUAUUAUAUAUGUAAUUCAAAUAAUAUUAUAAUAUAUAUGUAUAUAUAUAUAUAUAUACAUAUGAUAUUAUAAUAUAUAUGCUUAAAUAAAGUAAGUAUGAUGAAUAUAUUGUUAGAGACAUAUAUAUUUACUCUAAUAAUUAUUUAUAUAAUAUAAAUAGAUAGAAGUAGGUAAAAAUAGAUUAAUUUGAUAAUAUCUUCUAAAAAUGCUUUGUAAAAGCUUAAUAGAUGUGAUUUCACAUUUAUACGUGUUUGUAGGUGAUUAAUAGGUUGAACACUUAGCCAACAAGUUAGCCACGUAUCAUAUAUGUUAAAAGUUUUUGGUAUAAAUUAAUGAAAUGGCACACAUAUAAGAAACUUGUCUUAUAAUUUAAGGUACAUGUCUUGCAAGUUAUACACAUAUCAAAGGUCCUAGAGAACAUCACCAUGUAGCUCUUAGUUACAUAAUAUACAAGGAUGUAAGAGUGAAGCCUUUUUUACUUUUGAUUUUUUUUUUCUUCUAGUUUAAUUUCAAGACUAUUUGGAUUUUUAAUCUUAAGCAAUAGCCAUUCUAGUUUCUUCUUUAAUAUAUAUAUUUUUGUAUUAUUAUUUUGUUAUCUUUCUUUGAUACCUAUCUCACUUGUUUACUUAUCUUUUUUAAAUUCUUGUUCUUGACAGAUUGACGAAGAUACAAUUAUAAUAUUAGAGCUUUGUCUUUUUUUGAUUAAGAAUAGAUUAUUCCUCCGAGUUUGUCCAGCUAUAAUAGAAAUCAUGCAAUUAGAACCUUAUAUAAUACCUAGUAAAGAUUUUAUUUUCUCUUCAAAAUCCUCUUCUUGUUUUACAAUAGAUGUUAGUUUAAGAUCUAAAUAUUUCAAAGCUUUUGUUUUGCUAGAUUUAAGAGCCUCAAUUUGUUUUUUAGAUAAAAAAUUUGUUAAAAGAUAUAGCAUUUUAUUACUUAAGGAAACUAAAUUUGUUCAUGUAAAAGUCAUAGAUGGUUGUUUAUUGUCUUCUAGAGAUGUUAUUCAUGAAAUCCUUCUUAUAGAAAUAGCCACUAAUGGUCAUAAUAACUUAAUAAGAUUUGAAAUUAUUAAAUCUUCUUCUAUUCUAACUAUUUUAGAUUUAUUGUAGCUAAAAAAAUAUAAUCCUUAAAUAAAUUGGAUUUCUCAUUGUCUUAAUUUUUUAAAAAAUAUACCUAAGAGUGUUGUUAAUCAAACAAAAAGUCAUUAGUUUAGUGCAGCCAAACAUAUAUUUAUUGAUACUAGAGUUUUUUUGGAUGUUAUAGAAAAAGUGUCUCCUUGUAUUAUUUAUACUACAUUUGUUUCUAAUAGUAGAAAGACUUCAAGUGGCAUUCUAAGCCAAUAUCAAGAUUAUCAAGAUAUCUAUGAAAAUAAGAAUAUAGAUACUCUUCCAAAAAAUUAUUCUAAAUUGACCUUCAAGAAGAAGUUCAACUGCCAUUUGGACCAAUCUAUAGUUUAUCACAAAAUAAAUUAGUUGAAUUCAAGGAAUAUAUUGAAGAAAAUUUGAUGAAGAAUUUUAUAUGCCAUUUAAAAUUUCCAAUAGGAGCUCCAACAUUAUUUAUGAAGAAAAAAAAAUUAAUCACUAUGGAUUUGUGUAGAUUAUUGAGGACUUAAUAAGAUCACCAUCAAGAGUAGGUACCUUCUACCUUUGAUAUCUAGAUUUCUUGAUUAAUUGAAUAAAGCAAAAAUUUAUAUAAAAAUAGAUCUAUAAAAAGUAUACAAUUUAAUAUGCAUCAAAAAAAGAGAUGAAUAGAAGAUUGUAUUUUGAAUUAAGUAUGGACAUUUUGAAUAUAAUAUCAUGUCCUUAGGACUUACAAAUACACUUGCAGCUUUUCAACAUCUAAUGAAUGAUGUCUUUCAAAAUUUUUUAGAUAAUUUUAUUAUUUUUUAUUUAAAAAAUAUUUUAAUCUACUCUAAGAAUAUAAAAGAACAUGAACUCUAUAUUUGUUAUAUUUUAUAAAAAGUAAAAGAUAUAAGAUUCUAUGUCAAGGUAAAAAAGUAUAUAUUUUACACUACUUAAGUCAACUUCUUAAGAUACAACAUUUCAAAUGAUGGACUUAUGAUAGAUCUCAAGAAAUUUUAAACUAUCAUGGAUUAAAAGAUUUUAAAUAUAUAUAUAUAUAUAUAUAUAUAUAUAUAUAUAUAUUGAAUAUUUUUUUAAGUUUAUCAAUUAUUAUUGGAUUUAUAUUAAGAAUUUUUUUUAAGUAGAAUAAAGAAAAAAAAAGUAGUAUUUGAAGCUUCAAACAUAACUUUUGUUUUUGCACCAAUCUUAUAUUGUAUCAACUUUUUCAAGCCAUUCUUUACAAAAACAUAUGCAUUGGACUUUAUUUUAGAUGCCAUAUAGUAAAAAAUGAGAGCAAAUGAUAAUAUUAAAAUUUCUUAAAUAGAAAGCUAUUGAAUGAAGUUUAUAUUUGAUUUCAUUUUUUAUUAUUAAUAAUCAAAAUAAACUAUAAGAUCUACAAUAAAGUAAAUUAUGGAUUACAAAAACCUUGAAUAUUUCAUGUGAGUACAUAUUUUGAAUUGUUGCCAAAGUCAUUAGAAUAUGUCCUUAUCAAGAUUCAAAUUUAAGAUUAUUUAUUGACUAUGAAAAUAAUAAUAUUUAUCAUAUGUCCUUUCUAAAAGAUAUUAUUUUGCAUUAAAGCAAGAUAUACAAAUUUUGAACAAUAAUAGAUCAUUUUUUUGAAAUUAGAGCAAUUUCAUUUUUAAGCAAUGAAAUAAAUACUAACUAUUGAUGUAGCUUUUUUUUUUAGGUAUGUUUAGUCAAGUAUGUCCAUUAAUUUUCUUGUUUGUAAUAUUAAAAAAAAACUAUAAAAUUUCAUAAUAUUUCUAAAUUUUAAUUUAAGCAUAAUUUUUAUAUUUUGAGGGAUAGUUAUAUAUUUUAAAAGAUGAAGCAUAAUUAUAUAUUCUUCAAGCUCGUUACAACUUCUUAGCAAUUAGAUAUUUUGGAUAAAAUAAGAUUUUAGAACAAAUAUCUAAAGAUUUUUAGUAGCUUCAAAUAUAGAAGGCAAUUAAAAAAUUUGUAUAAUCUUGUGACAUUUUUUUAAGAUAAUAAACUCCUUAUUAUCAAUCUUAUAUAAUUCUUCACCUGUUACUCAAUCUACAAUAAAUAUGGUCUUUUCUAUCUAUAGAUUUUAUGAAAAAUAUUUUAGUUUUAAAUUCAUAUGAUUCUAUAUUUGUGAUAGUAAAUUUUUUUACUGAGAUUGCACAUUUUAUACUAUAUACAAAAUCUAUUAUAUAUGAAGAAACAACUAAAUUUUUUCUUAACAACAUAUAUUACUAUCAUGGAUUAUCAAAGAAUAUUACAUCAAAUAAGAAGACUCAAUUUGUAUUAAGGUUUUAGAGAAUUUUUUAUAAGAUUUUAAAAGUAGACAUAAAAUUAUUUUUGAUUUUCCAUCUUCAAAUUGAUGGACAAACAAAUCACAUAAAUCAAGUUUUGAAGUACUAUUUAAUAUGUAUUAUUAACCACCAACAAGAUGAUUGGACAAUUCUUUUGUCAUUGGUACAAUUUGCUUGUAAUAACAUGAUAUACUCAUCUACUCAAAAAACAUCUUUUUUUACUAAUUAUGAUUAUAAUUUAUAACUUGAUACUUUUGACUUUUCAAAAGUUGAUAAUCUUAUGAAAGAAGAUUUGGAAAAUUAUUUAUUUGAGCUCAAAAAAGAUUUAUACGGAUUCAUAUUGGAAGGAAUAACUUUAAUAUCAUGUUUGCAAUAAGAUAUGAUUACUUCAUUAUAUUAUCUAGACUAUUUAUCUUUGUCACAAGUUCUAUUAUUAUAGAUUUGAAUCAUUUCAUAUAUGUAAAUAAUUCAAUUCAAUUGCUUAUCAAUUAUAUUUAUCAAAAUCUAUGAAGAUACAUCUUGUAUAUCAUAUAUCUCUACUUGAGCUAUAUAAAAUAACAAAUAUUCCAAGAAGAAUACAAAUCCUAUUCUUUCCUAUUAAAAAAGAUAAUAAUGAAGAAUUUAAAAUAUAAGAAGUCUUAAAUUCAAGGCAAUGCUAUUUUAAGUUAGAAUAUUUUAUUUAUUAAUGCAAAUAUGAUAUUAGUGAAUGCACAUAGAAGUUAGUAAGAAAUUAACUUUUUUUAUAAUAUAAUAAAAAAAAUUAAAGCUUUUCAUCAAUAAUAUAUAAAAAAAUUAAAAUAAAGAAUUAAAAAAUUCCUUACUAUAAAAUAAAGAAAGCUUAAUAAAGAUUGUAUUUCAUAUUUUAUCAUUCAUUAUGAAUUUUUUGUAUUUGUGAUGCUAAUAAGAUAAAAAAACCAAGAAUUAGUAGAUUCAAUUCAAAAACUUUCAUUUGCUGACUUAUCAAAUAAGACAUUAUAAUUAUUGCAACCUUCAAGACGAUAUACUCGUGAUGAAGAACCUCAAGAAUAACUUGUUCUUCUUCAAAUAAAUGGCAAGAUACAACACGUUUAGUAUCACAACCUUAAAAGCAACUUAUGAUAUUUGAUAAUUUUAUUGAAAGUAAGAAUUAUUUUUGAUAUUUUAAAAAAAUAUUUUAUUUGAAAGAUAUUAAUAAGGCCUUAAAAAUAAUUGAAUAUCAAGGUGAUCUUUUUGCUCUAAAAUAAGACAUUAUCACUAAUUGAGAUGACCUAUCAACUACCUUCAAGUAGAACAAAAAUUAAAACAUAUAAUAAAUAUAAUUUGCCACAACUUGAAUUUCAUCAAUAUGUGAUUAUUGUUCCUUGUGGAACUUAAUCCAAGAAUGAGGCGAUAAUGCCAAUGACAUAUAUAUUUAUUCUAGUAAUUACUUAAAUAAUAUGAAUAGAUAGAAAUAGCUAAAAAUAGAUUAAUUUUCUAAUAUUUAAUAAUUUUUUUUUAAAAGCUUCAUAGAUAUGAUUUCAUCUUCAUACAUGUCUAUAGAUAAUAGAUAGGUGGAACAAUUGGCUAAUAAAUUAGUCAUGUGUCACAUAAGUAGUAGCUUGUGAUAGAAGCUAAUUAUUUAAAGUACAUAUGUAAUAAAGCAAGACCAGUCUAGCUUGAAAGUCUAAGUGUCUUUUAAUCCAUAACAAGAUAAAACCUCACCACAAAAUAAGACAAAAUAAAUUAAAAAAAAAUUGAAUAGAACUAAACAUAAUGGGAUACAAAAGACAAAACUAUGCAAACAAAAAUAUAACCAAACAAAAUUAAACAAGAAGAUACAAAACCAAACUUUACUAAGAGAAAAGAUUUAAAGUUAUAACUGACCAGAUGUCCAAAUUGAUCUAGCUGGUCUUAUAUAUACUUUGUUCUAUUAUCCUAGACUUUCUAUAAUAUUCUUAGAUAAUGGAUCUAACUUUGAUAAUUGUCUUAAAUUCCUUGUAGAAGUUUCUAUAGUAUACCUACCUAGAUAACCACCCUAAGUUCUUUUUAGAAUGUUCCACGAUGGAUCCUACAUAGUCUAUUAAUCAAGUUCCAAUUCUAGAAACUUCCAUAACUUUUUAAACAUAAUUCCAACUAUCUAAUUUUAUGUGUCAAUAACAACUUUUUUUUUUUAUUUAUAUCUUGUUACAAUUAAUCUUCCUCUACUAAUGCAAAAAGGUCUUCAUUUUGCUAUCAAUGGUGUCAUACUGUAAAUACUUAAAGUAUGUAAAAAUUAGUUAGAACAUAUAAUAUGUUCAUAAGUCUCAGUGUGUAAUAGAAUGGUUAAUAGAUUAAUUUAAAGAAAGUGGAUAUAAGCAACAUUAUUUUGAAUUUUAUUUAUUUUGAUUAUGGUAUUUAAAUAUAUAUAUAUAUAUAUAUAUAUAUAUAUAGAUAGGACCUAAAUAUUUAGUAUGAAGCCUUAGGAGAAGGCAGAAGCCUAAAGAUGAAAAUUUAAACUAGUAGGAGGCUAAUUGAGAGGAAUAAAAGUAAGGCAUGGUCAGAUGAAGGCAAGGAAUGGAGAACUUCAUUCCUAUUAGUCGAAUACCAUGCCCAAUGGACUUUGAGGAGAAUGCCGACGACCUUAAUGAGGGUUUUGGUGACUUCAAAGAAGGCAUUUGAGAAUUAAAAGAUGAGAUUGUAAAGUUUACAGUUUGGACUACAAUUUGUAUAUAAAAUUUAGAGGAUUUGGAAUCAGGAUAAAGAAGAUAUAGCCAUUUGAAGUUAAGGUGUUAAUUUAAGAUAUGCUAUUAUUUUUUUGAAAAUAUGAAGAGUUGUAUGACAGCUUUUGAAGAUUAGAAGGUGCGAUUAUAAUAGCGAUUUCAAGGCCUACAUCUUUUAUGAAAGAAUUGUUCCUUUUGGAGUUUAUAUGAAGUACUUAUAAGGAGUUGAAGGUGGCGCUUCUAAAUCAAAGGCAAUAAGUAAGCAAUUUUAUUUAAAGUAAUGGUUGGAGCCAUAACUUGAAUUUUUGAACAAAUUUUUGGCUCAAAAUUUUUAAAAAAUAAAACAUUUUGUAUUAUAAAGCUAUAUAUAAAAAUUGUGUGGCAUUUGAGCUUUUAUUUUGUGAGAUAUAAAGAAAAUUUUACAUAAGGAUAUAAAGACAAGGAUUUGAAGUGACUGUAAGGAUUUUCAAAAUAUCUCAAUAUCCGCAAAAAAAUUGUAGUUGAAAUUUGUUGUAGAAGUUGAUAAGAAUACAUAAGUACUUUAUAUAAAAUUUGAAUAAGUUUGGAUUUUCGGAUCAAGAGACAUGAGGUAUUGAAGUUCAAGAAAAUUUCCACAUAAGGGUAUGCAAGGUUUUAGAGGAUAUUAUCAUAUUUUGGGUGUUGUUGGUUACUUAAGGCUUACAUAUUUGGUGUAAUUGCUCCAAAACGAAAAUUUUAUACAUAAACUUAGGACUUUCUUUAUUUUGAAGCUUUAUUGAGCAAUUAGUGACAACCAGUAGCCCAAUGCUUUCUUGAAGCAAACUCUUUCUAUCCCGACAACGGUAUCUCUAAAUUAUCUAUUGACAGUGGAUGAAGUUUUUGGUGAAUUAUUAUAUUGCAUCGUGGAUGGAAUAACCUUUUUAAAGAGCUUUUUAAAGAAGUUGUGGAUGUUCAUUGCUAUAGUGAAGGUGGCAAUGCUCUAAAAUACUAUCUACUUCAUAUUCUUAUUAGUCAUUAACUAUAACUACAAGUGUUAGUAGUUAAUAUCAAUCUAUAAAGUAUUUUGGCUCGGUAUGAAAUUCCUUUAGUUACAAAAUGUGGAUGACCAAAUAGACCAAAAUAUGUCAUAGUGUCAAAGACAUGAAUCUCGAAGAAAGAGAAUCCUCAAAAAACUCUUCUAUUACUAAAGAGAAUUAGAAAAUCUCUCAAAAGGUGAUGUAAUAUUAACUAGAACGGCUAUUGCCAAAAACAAGAAGACUAAAAAGUCUCGAAACAAGACUAAGCUUAGAAAAGCGUUGACAAGAGUGAAAAAGGCUUCACUCUUGCCUCCAUAUAUACUAUCUAAUUAAGAACUAUGUGGCGAUGUCCUUUAAGACCUCCAACAUGUAUUGACUUUGCUAGCCACAUAUCUUAUCUUGCAAGACAAGUUAUCUAUGUAUGCGCCACGUAAUUGGCUUAUUCUAUAAGCUACGAAUACAUGGUUAGCUUUUUGGCCAAGUUUCUAACCUACAAACACAUCUAAAGUCAAAACCGCGUCUAUGAAGCUUCUAAGAAGCUUUUCUAGAAGACUUUAUGAAAUUAUUCUAUAUUUACCUACUUUUACUUAAUCAUAUAAGUAACUAUUGAGGUAAAUAUGUAUAUCUGUGACAUUAUAUCUCUUUCUAUGGACGAGUUCCAUGAGAAGCAAUCUUCAUAUGUUGAAGAGGUCUAAGAUGCAAGAAAUUGUAUUUACUAUAUACUCCGAACUUUGCUCUCUUCAAAGAUGGUUGAUAGGUCCUCUCAACAACCUAUAGUGCCCCAUAUCAGGGUAAGAAGACCAUCCUGUUAUUUGAUCAUUAUUGAGGCUUUCAUAACUUCCUUCAAAUAACACAUUUGGAACAUCGUCAAGAAUUGUUUCUACCUCUAAUAAAAUCACUAAACAUUGAGAGUUUCUUCCAAGGUUGUAAUACCAAAUAUGUUGUAUCUCGCCAUCUAUUCGAAGAAAGACAUGUCAUUCUUGAGGAUCUUCAUUUUGAUUCUAUCGUCUUGAAGAUUGUGAAAAUUACAAUAUCUCGUCCGAUAAGUCCGUAAAUAAAAGCUCUAGAGUUGAAUCUACUAGUUGUUGAUGCUCCAUCUCAUCACAAAUACACAGAAGUUACAAUAAAAGAUAGAAGGUAGAAUGUUAUUUUCUUUUGAUCUUGUUUCUUUUAUAGCAAAGAUUUGCUAUUCUUCAUCUUGAUUUUGAUGGAUGAUGUUGAUGAAAGACUUCAACUUUCUUUGCUGCAUUUGUAAGAUUCUUUGAUGGCUCCCAUAUGCAUUCACUAAUAUCAUAUUCGUGCCAAUGAAUAAGAUAUUCCAAUGUAAUUUGGCCCCACCUUGAGUCUAAGACUUCUUCCACUUCAAAGUCUUGGUUAUUCCUUGCGAUAAGCAUCUAUGUUGGUCUUUUGUCGUUCUUGAGCUUCCUUUAAUUGUAUCUUCAUUGUUGUAUGUAGCUUUGACAAGCGAUUUGCUAAAUCUUUUUUUGGAAGAUUAUCAACUUUUGAAAAGUCAAAAAUAUCAAGAUGUGGAUGUUAACCAUAAUUUACAAAGAAAGAUGUUUGUUGAAUUGAAGAAUGUACCAAAUUAUUAUAUGCAAACUCUGCCAAUGGUAAAAGAGUUGUUUAAUCAUCUUGAUGAUAGUUGAUGGUACAUCUCAAAUACUGCUCCAAAACUUCAUUUACUUGUUUUGUUUGUCUAUUAAUUUGAGUAUAAAAAGCUGGAAAAAGCUUUAUAUCCAUCUUUAGAACCUUAAAUAGGAUUCUCCAAAAUCUUGAUACAAAUUGAGUCUCCUUAUCCGAUAUAAUAUCCUUUGACAAUCCAUGAUAGCGAUAGAUAUUGUCAAUGAAAAAUUAAGCUGUUUCUUCACAUGUAAUAGAUUUCGUACAUGAUACAAAAUGUGUCAUCUUGGUGAAACGACCUACUAUUACAAAUAUAGAGUCAUAAGAACCUGAGAUUGGAAGAUCCAUGAUGAAAUCCAUAAAAACAGAAGACCAUGGUUGUUCUCGAAUAGAUAAUGGUUGAAGAAGUCCGUAAGGUCGAUGACGAGGAAUUUUAGAUCUUGAGCAAACAUCACAAGAUUGUACAAAAUCUUUGAUUGCCUUCCACAUUUGCGGCUACCAAAAAUCUCUGGAUAUUAAUUCCAAAGUUUUAUUGUACCCAAAAUAUCCUGUUGUUGGAAAGUCAUGAUGAGCUUGAAGAAGACAUAAUCAAGCUUCACCUUUUGGAACAUAUACGCAUCCUUCAAAAUAUAAUAGAUUAUUCUUGAAUUCAAACUUGGAAGUAUCAUGGGACUUAGAGGAAGUAUCCUUGAUAUCCUGAAUAAGAGGAUCAAAUGACAUACUUGAUUGAAUUUGCUUUCGAAAUGUUGAAUCAAUAGUCAAUGUUGAUUUUAUAGCUCGAAGAUGAAAAUGCUCGGACUUCAAAAAAAUUGAUCUUUGUUAAUCAAAAGAUACAUCUCUUUCUUUUGGUACAAGAUAAGAACGUCUAAAAAGAGCGUUUGAUAGACCUUGUUGUUUUUUGGGUCGAUAAGUGAUCUUAAAAUUACAUCUAGAUAAAGACAUGCUCUAACAUGCUUGACGAUGAUUCAAGAUACAAGCUGACAUGAAGUACAUGAGGUUCUUAUAGUCUAUAUAUAUAAUAAUUGGACUUGAGGUGCCUUCUAGAUAAUGACUCUAUUCUUAAAAUGAAUCUAUGAUUGUAAAGGGUUCUUUAUUAUAGAUCUCAUAAUUAAUCUCGACUGCUGAAAAUUUUCUCGAAUGGAAAGCUAUUGGAUGGAGUUUGUCAUCUGUUCCUAUUUGUGACAACAUGGCACCUAUACCAAAAUCUAACGCAUUUGUUUCCAUAAAAAAUACUUUCGAGAAGUCAACGCAAUAUAAGAUUGGUAUAAAAAUAAAUUCCUUCUUUAAAGCAUCAAAUGAUGCUUUUGCUUCUUUAUUCCACUCAAAUUUAUCUUUACAAGUCAAACGUGUAAGUGGAGCUACAACUUGAAAAAAAUUCUUGAUAAAGAUUCGAUAAUAAUUAGCAAAGCUUCAAAAGCAUUGCACAUCUCAUAUUGUUGGUCAAGUAGUCUUGAAAUCAAAGGCAAAAGAUACCUAUUUUUUAUGGUGAUCUUGUUGAAUCCUUAAUAAUCCACAUAUAUUUACAGAGAUCCGUCUUUCUUCUUCACAAAUUUUAGAAUGGCAUAUGAAGUUCUUUGCCAAAUUCUCAUCAAUGUACUUUUUUAAUGCAGCCAACUCAUUUUGCGACAAGCUAUAGAUUGAUCUAAAUGGUGGUUAAGCUCCUUCUUACAAAUCAAUUGAACAAUCAUAAGGUCGAUGCUUGGAGAGAAUAUCUACAUUUUUCUUUUCAAAAACGUCUUGAAAUUCUUGAUAUUGCUUACGAAUACCACUCGACGUUGUUUCACCAUUAGAAAUAGGUGUAGCAUAUAUAGCAAAAGAUGAUCCUUCUUUUGCAGCAUGCAUGAAGGCUUUUGCAUCUAUUAGUAAAGGUUUGGACAUAUUGGACUUAUGUACUUCUACUUUGUUAAUGCAAUCUUGGAUUAUACUAUCAGAAAAGUUAAGGUUAGGAGAAAUUGAAUCUAUUUGAGGGUUAUAUUUUUUUAGCCAUGAUAAUCCUAAAAUAAUCAGAUUAGAGAGAGAUUUUAUUACAUUAAAUACUACUACGCUGUUAUGAUCUUUAAUUUCUAUAUCUAAAGGAAUAGUUUCAUGGAUAAUAUUUCUAAAAGAUAACAAACAACCAUCUAUGACUUCUACAUGUACGGAUUUAACUUUCUUCAUUAAAGGUAUUUUUUGAUUUUUGGCAAAAUCUUUGUCUAUAAAACAUGUUGAGGCUCAUGAAUUUAACAAGGUAAAGAUAUUGUGAUUAUUAGGUCCUAAAUAUACUUCUAUUAUAAAACAAGGUAAGAGAUCUGAGGAGAAGAUAGGACCUUUACUAGGUGUUGCAUAUGAUUCUAGCCGCACGGUUCCUAUUGUAGCUGGAGAAACUAAUUUUCCGACACAUUAUCUUCUUUGGUAAUUGUGCUCCUCAUUUUGUAAUUGUGUUAGUUCUAUAGACAAUAUUAAGCAGUGAACUUAGCUUCUACACAAUAUAAACAUAACCCCUCUUAGCGACAUCGAGUCUUUUCCUGCUUUGUAAGAAGUUUAAAACAUAUUAUAUCAAUUUAUAUUGAUUUUGGCUUUGACGAAUAUGUUUUAGCAAACUUGGGAGUUGUCGCCAUUACUUGACUUCUUCUUCUCUAACCAAAUCUUUGUUCUUGAUGCCUUUUAAAUAAAUGAUCAUUGCAUGUAAUGGCUUGAAUAAUAAAUUAUUCUAAAGAUUCUAUUUUUGGCAUUGUUAAUAACAAAUCUUUGACGCUAUCCUUCAAUCUAUAUCAAAAUUGGUUGAUAAGUACUUUGUCGUUCCAGUCCACAUCACAAGUAAGAUUUUAGAAUUUGGUAGCAUAUGUAGUGGUUGAUCAUGAUCCUUGUCAUAAAGAUAAAAGCUUGGUUUCUGCUACUCAUUUUCCAUCACUUUCUCCAAAUGUGGUCGUAAAUACUUCUAAGAAUGAAUUCAAAUCAAAAACGAGUCGUGAAUCUUUUUCCAUUAAAGGUAUAAACCAAGAGAGAGUACUUCUUGAUAAUAAUACAUCUAUGAAUUCAAUUUAGAUAAAUCCAUCAGAAUAUUGGAAAGGGUGUAGCUUUAGAUAGAACUUGACUUGUUACAAAAGUCCUUGAAAUUUUGAUCUUAUUCCAUCAAACUUCUCAGGCAUAUUAAUCCUUGUCCCUGUCAUACUUGUAGUAGCAAAACUCCCUGGAUUUGAUUGUGACAUUGAUCUACUUGCUUCUUUCAACUGUACAUCUUCUUGCCACAGACUUUGAACUUCUUCCAAAAGCGUAGGCAUAGUAUUUCCAUGAUUUACGUUGGAAAUAUGUAAAAUUUGUACUCUUAGAGUGUUGACAAGCUUAUGAAGAUCUACAAUAGUUACAAAUCUAUUGUCACUUCCAUUGAGAGUAGCAUCCAUAAUCUUUCCUUCCAUACACAAGUCAAGUGAAUUCAAAAGUUAAAAUAGAGGAAGGUAAUCUGUAACCUCUAAAAAAAAUCCUAUAAAGAGGGAUAAUCCACUCUUUUUAAGAAAAAGACUAGUGUUAGAAAACAAGAUUUUUUGUUUAAAGAUGAGUAGUCCACAACCUUCAAAAUACAACAAUAGAAGUGAAAUAAUCUACUCAUUUCUAAAAUAAGAUAGAAACAAUAUGUUAGCACUCUUGUCAAACUGUCAAGGAUAUGAAUCUCGAAGAAAGAGAAUCCUCAAUACACUCUUCUAUCACUAAAGAGAACUAGAAAGUCUCUCAAAAGGUGAUGUAAUAUUAACUAGAAUGGCUAUUGCCAAAAACAAGAAGACUAGAAAGUCUUGAGACAAGACUAAGACUAGAAAGGCAUUGACAAGAGUGAAGAAGGCUUCACUCUUGCCUCCAUAUAUACUAUCUAACUAGGAGAUACGUGGCAAUGUCUUAUAUGACCUCCAACAUGUAUUGUCUUUGCUAGCCACAUGUUUUAUCUUACAAGGCAAGUUAUCUAUGUAUGCGCCACAUAGUUGGCUUGUUCCACAAGCUAUUACAUGGAGGUAACUUAUUCCACAAGCUAUCAAUACAUGGUUAGCUUUUUGGCUAAGUUUCUAACCUACAAACACAUCUAAAAUCAAAACUGUAUCUAUGAAGCUUUUAGGAAGCUUCUCUAGAAGACUUUAUAAAAUUAUUCUAUAUUUACCUACUUCUAUUUAAUUAUAUAAGUAACUAUUGAUGUAAAUAUAUAUGUCCAUGACAGGUAGAAGCUCAAGGUAGUAUGCAACAUCAAAAAUCACUGUAGAAAUGCAGAAAGAUCGAAGUCAUCAAAUUGCUAGUUUAUGGAUUUGGAUUGAUAUAGCAAGUGGUAAGUUGGUGUUGGAAAGUAACAGUUGAUUAUCCUUCUGAAAGAUCUUAUAUUCCAGUGGUUAUCUCCAUAUUGCUUCUAUCAUUUUUAAGCGAUAAGAAGGUAGUAUCAUGCCUCUUAAAAGGUCAUUAUGAGCCGUUGUAUAAAUUCCUCUGUUAUCAAAUUAUUAGUAUCAAUGAAACAAUAAAAAGUUGCUAGCAUAACUAGAUACUAAUUGGUGUUAAAAAAAUGGUGAAUGACCAGUAUUUGCUUGAAUGCUAUUAUUGUAAGAAAAUUUUAAGUAUGUCAAGUAUUCAUCAGAGUCAUUAUGAUGAACUAUCACAUAUAUCCAUAGCAUAUCUUUUAAGGUCUGAUUUACAUGCUCUAUUUGUCCAUCUGUUUUGAGAUGGAAGGCUAUAAAAUUGAUAAGUUAUGUACCGAGUAACUUGAACAAGCCUUGCCAAAAGCUUCUUGUGAAGCACAAAUUUUGAUUAAAAAUGAUAAUAUGAGAUAAAGUAUAGUAAUAAAAGAUAAUAUCAAAGAAGAUUUGUGCAAGUAUUGGGGCAUUAAUAUUUGAGUGCAUUGCGGCCAAGUAAAGUUGCUUCAAGAAUUGAUCCAUAAAGAUAGCAACUACAAUGUGAUUAUGAGGUAUUUGUGAGAAAUUCAUUCUGUGAUUUAUAAUUUCUUGCUUCCAAUGUACCAUAGAUAAUAGAAUUGGUUGCUAAAGUCUAAUAGAUACUGCGUUGCCUACUUUAUUAUAUUGACAUGCCUCGCAGAAGUACAAAAGCUCAAACAUCACAAUCCAAACUUGUCCAAAACCAUGUCCUUGAGAUUUGUUCAUUAGUCUUCUCUCAUCUUAAAUAUCUAGAUAUUGGACUCUCAUAUAUCUCUUGAAGUAUGUGUGUCUAGACUAUAGCAUUAUGAGGUACAUAAAUUUGUUUUUUGAAAUAAAACAAGCCAUCACUAAGUGUAUAAUCUUAAUGCCAUGUAUCGCCCACCUUCAGCCGAUUGCUAACCAUUUAGAAAUAAGUAUCCCGGUGUAUAGCUUCUUUUUAUUGUACCUCUUUGGUUAUGUUUGAAAUGACACUUUUAAUAGUAGCAACUUUUGUCUUCUCUUUCAAUUUGACCUUUAAAUCUGGUCUCCGCAACUAGCUAUUUAGCAUAGUAUGUUGUCAUCCUCGCUCGCACUGAAGUUGGAUAUCCAAAAGCUAUGACUAUUCUUCUCAAUGAUGAUGUUGUGAUUUCAUAUUUUUCAUAUGCAAAUUGUAUAGUAAGAGCCAAUGGUUAGUUCAAACAAGCAUUGGUUCUUCAACAAAUAGUGUUCCUACACCUUUGUGGCAUGUAUAAUUUAUUUAUUAUACCUCUAUUUCAUACCACCAAUUAGAAGCAACUCUUAAUUGAAGCCAUCUUGUAAUUUGGGUUGAAAGAGAAAUUUAUCCUCACAACAUAUAUAAAACUUCUCUUACAAGUUAAGACAUAUUUUGCAAAUUGAAUAUGUAUCAGAGGUUCUAUAGGAUAUCACUAUGUAGCUUCUAGUUAAAUAGUAUAUAUAGAAGCAAGAAUGAAGCCUUCUUUACUCUUGUCAAUCACUUUCUUACUUUUAGUCUAGUUUCAAGGAUCUCUAGAUUUUUAAUCUUGACAAAUAGCCAUUCUAAUUUCUUCUUGAAAAUACAUAUUUUCUUAUUAUUAUUUUCUCAUCUUUCUUUAAUACUUAUGUCACUUGUUUAUUUCACUUCCUUAAAUUUUUGACCUUGAAAAUAAGAAUAUGUAAUUAGUGUUGAUUAAUCUUAAAAAUGAUAAUUUCUAUCAUACCAAUAAUAUGUCUAUUUUUAUAAUUAUUAAUAACUAAUAAUUAAUAUUUUUUAUAUAAUAAUUAAUACUAAAUAAAUAAUAGAAAUGAUAUAUAUGUAAUAUUUUAAAUAUUUAUUAUAUUUAAUAUUAAGAUAAAAAACUAUUUAUUCUCUAUUAUGAAUGUGGAAUGUUAAUUAUUAAAGAAUAAAUUCUAUUUUUAAAGAUUUAAUAUUAUAUUACAAAAUCAAUGUAAAGUAAAUAAAAUUUAUAAAAUUUUAAUUUCUAUAAUGAUGUAAAAUACAACUAUUUAACAAAAUAUCCUUAAAAUAUAUUUGUUAAAAAAAUAAAUUGAAAUAUAUAAUAAGAAUAGAACUUACAAAAAAUCCAUCAUUUUCCAUGGAAUAAUAGUUAAAAAAUAAUAGCUUCAACAUUUAAAUAUUAAACAUAUCCACUUAAAAAAAUUGAAUGUGCAUAUAUAUAUAUAUAUAUAUAUAUAUAUGCUUGGAUCAUUUUUUAAAUUAAUAUUCUCAUAAAAAUAUCAUUUAUAAAUUUUAAAUAUAAAUAUUAAAAUAAUAUUGUAUUAUCAUAGUCUGAUUUAAACAUGUAAAAAAUAAUAUACUAUAAGUGAGUAUUUGUAUUUAAAAGACAAGAUAAAAGGUCACAACUUUAAAAUCUUUUGGUUGAUUGAAAUUAAGAAGCCACAUAUAGUUGACUUGUUGUUAGGGACAUAGUCCUUAGAACCUUCUAGAAGCAAGUCUCUGGAACCUUCUAGAAGCUUCUUAGUUGGUGGAAGUUGCUUGAGAAGCUUCCUAGUUGGUGGAAGUCGCUUGAGAAGCUUCCUAGUUGUUAGAAGUUGCUUGAGAAGCUUCCUAAAUAGGAAUAUAUAUUGGAAUUGAAGUUGAAGAGUUCUUCAGUCUCGACAACACAUUUCUUGGAGCUCUAGCUCACCUCUUUGGUGUUGUUCUUGUAUUCAUCUGAUUAAUCUAGUUCUUGCCAGUUCUUCUUGAACUUCUUGUUAGAUCUUGAGCCUGUAUUUCUAUGUCCGAUACACUUUGUUGAGACUUCACUCACCUCAGAUAUCAAAGCUAGUUUCUUCCUCGUUAGAGUGUGGAUUAUUCCUCUGCUUGAAGGUGUACUAGCAUUUUAGAGGUUGCGGAUUACCCUCCUCUAAACUGAUACUUCUUUUGUUAUAAUAUUGAAGUCUUAUUCUUCUUGGAGAGAGUAGAUUAUCCCUACUCUUGAAGCUCUUAAGGCGUUUUAGAGGUUACGGAGUACCCUCUUCUAAACCAAUAUUGUCUUCUUGUAGAAUCAUUUCUGUCCUUCUCUUAAAAUGGCUGGAGGCGAAGACAUUAGUAUGACAGAAAGUUCGGAGUCCAAGUUGGAUGCUAUCAUGAAUGCCCUCGCUACGUUAUCGCAAAGAACUACAGAAAUUGAAGGAGUCGUGGCAAAGCUUCAUAAUGAUGGAGCAUCUAGGAUGGCACAAUCUUCGUUGCACCAGCCUCAAACUUCUACACUUGGAGAAGCAACUUUGCCUCAAGUUUGACAAGCACCGUUAAUUCUACAACAUAAGGAGCCCCGAGUUAGCCUUCCGGACAAGUUCAAUGGCACGCAUUCCAAGUUUCGAGGAUUUGUCAAUCAAAUCAGGUUGAUAACAGUUUUAUAGCCCAAACGCUAUCCAACGGAAGAGUCACAUGUUGGCCUUGUUGGAACCUUACUUACAAGGCAAGCUCUAUCAUGGUUUGCUCCAUUGUUUGAGAAACGAUCAUCCAUACUGAACAACUUUGAAACCUUUUUGGAGGUAUUUGUGGAAGCAUUUGAUAAACAUGACAAGGUUCGAUGGACUACAACAAAGAUCCAGUUACUACGACAAGGGAUGCACUCUACAUCAGUCAAUGCAUCGGAUUUCAGGCAACUAGCAUGCGACAUUAAUUGGGAUGAAGAAGCAUUGAUGAGUCAAUUCUAUUGGGAUUUAAGGGACGAUGUGAAGGAUUUGUUGCUAACUCUUCCUAAUCCGCAAACGCUCAACAAAGCUAUUAGCAAAGCUGUGAAGUGCGAUAACCACCUAUUCCAAUGUCGCCAAGACCAACACUCAAGACAACAUAUAGUUCGUCACGUCCCAACUAUAUCGACAAGCAAUGUGAAUUCACAUUUAGAGGUAGAAGACAUGCAAAUUGAUGCGGUACGUGUCAAAUCCCUUACUCUACAAGAAAAAAAGCGGCGUAUAGAGGAAGGUCUAUGCUUAUAUUGUAGUGAAGAAGGCCACAAAGUUGGAAACUGCUACAAGAAGCAAAAUUGACGCAUUGUCAGGACCAGGGGUAUGUUUGUUCAGGAAAACGAGGAUGCCCAGCCACAAUAGGAACCAUGCGGCUAAACAGUGAAAUAUCGCAACAACAAUCAAGUUCCUUUCUUUCCGCUCAACCUGCCCUUUAUUUUACAAUCCUUUUGUUUAUUGGCCUUCAAAAACUGAGAACCUUAGCAUUAUUAGAUUCAGGAGCAUUUACUUGUUUCUUAGACGAAGAAUUUGUGAAGCGUCAUAAGAUCCCUUUAGUAUAAAAAUCCAAACCUGUUCACGUUGAGGUCAUAGAUGGAUGACCUUUAUUGUUUGGUAGUGUCACCCAUGAAUCAGAACCUAUAGAAGUGACGUUUAAGGGCCAUAGUAGCCAUAUUAUUUUUAAUAUUAUUUGAACCCCAUCAAAUCCUAUUAUUCUUGGUCUUUCCUGGUUGGAAAAGCAUAACCCAUCCAUAGAUUGGAGGUUGCAGAAGAUGACCUUUCCUACAAAAUCACCCAAGAGCAAGCCUAGUAGAAAACCCCGAAUAGAGAAAUUCUUAUUCAUUGGAACAAGAGCAUUUAUAAGAUCAUCCAAGGAAGGCACAUCAUUUAUCAUUUAUGUGGCUCCAACUAUCAGAGAGAAGAUCUCGACAACAAGUAUAUCGGAGCAAUAUAAGGAUUUUAAAGACGUGUUUCAAAAGAAGAAUGCCGACAUGCUACCGGAACAUCGACCAUAUGAUUGCGCCAUAGACUUGCAGGAAGGAGCACAAUCGUGUUUUGGCCUAAUCUAUAAUCUAUCGCAGAUGGAGUUGGCGGAGUUGCGGAAGUACAUCGACGAGAAUCUAGCCAAGAACUUCAUCCGUCAUUCAAAAUCGUCAACUGGAGCACCCAUCUUAUUUGUGAAGAAGAAAGAUGGCUCGUUGCGGAUGUGCAUGGACUAUCGAGGCCUCAAUAAGAUAACAAAGAAGAAUCGUUACCUGUUAUCCUUGAUUUCUGGUCUCUUAGAACAACUUGGACGUACAAGGAUCUUUACAAAAAUUGAUCUAAGGAGAGCUUACAACCUCGUACGAAUCAAUGAAGGAGAUGAGUGGAAGACAGCGUUUCGUACAAGCUAUGGCCAUUUUGAAUAUAAUGUCAUGCCCUUUGGUCUUACCAAUACUCAAGCAGUCUUCCAACAUAUGUUGAAUGUCAUUUUUCGAGAGUACCUUGACAAUUUUGCUGUCAUCUACUUAGAUGAUAUUAUGAUAUUCUCCAUAAACGAGGAAGAGCAUGAAAAGCACAUUCGUUUGGUCUUGGAGAAACUACGCAAGCGAGGAUUAUAUGCCAAGUUGGAGAAGUGUUUAUUUUACCAAAUGGAGAUGGAAUUUUUGGGGUUCGUUGAGACUACGGAAGGCUUGAAGAUGGACCCCAAGAAGGUGGAAGCAAUCGUAUCCUGGGAGGUUCCGAAGACGGUUAGAGACGUACAAUGCUUUCUUGGCUUUGCUAACUUCUAUCGAAUCUUCAUCAAGAAUUACUCUCAAGUUGCUGCUCUGCUCACUUGAUUGACAUGCAAGGAUAAGCUAGAAUGGGGACCUCUAGUGGAGAAGGCGUUUCAAGUCCUGAAGACAGUAUUUACUACGGCUCCGAUCUUGGUACAUCCAGACUUUACAAAGGCCUUCUAUUUAGAAACUGAUGCUCCGGAUUUUACUUAGGAAGUUGUACUUUCACAAAUGGAAGAAGACAAGAAGCUCCAUCUGGUUGCAUUUUAUUCUCGAAAGUUCUCUGCUGCUGAAAUCAAUUAUGAUAUCCACGAUAAAAAAACUUCUUGCUAUAGUAGAUUCUUUCCAAGAAUGGCGUCACUUUCUUGAAGGAGCUGCACAUCCAAUGACCAUAUACACUGAUCACAAGAAUUUGGAGUAUUUCAUGUCGGCUCGAGUUCUAAAUUGAUGUCAAGCUCGGUGGAGUAUGUUCCUAUGUAGAUUCGAUUUUGUUAUCACUUAUCGACUUGGAAAGCAGCAAGGACUAUCCAAUGCCUUAUCGAGGAGAUUGUAUCUUAUACCAAAGGCUAGAAAAGCAGCAUUUGAUCAACAAUAUAUGACGUUGUUGAACCAGAGCAAUUUCGGCUUUGCGCUACUAUUGUGCCAAUUGAUGCUGACUUCUUGAACCAAGUACGUGCCGUAACCAUUGAAGAUCUAGUAGCCAUUAAUAUCAAGCAGCAUACCAAUGACGACAAGUUCAAGGUGGAGGGAGAUCUUUUAUACUUUGAGGAGCAGUUGUAUAUUCCAAAAGGACUAGCAUGACUCCGAGUUCUUCAAUCUUGCCAUGAUUUUCUAGCUACGAGACAUUUUAGAUUCAACAAGACCUUGGAGCUUAUUUCUCAAGAUUUUUGGUGGCUCCAAAUAUGGAAGGAUAUAAAAGAUUUUGUCUUCUCCUGCGAUAUUUGUUCAAGAUCUAAGAAUCCUCGACAUUGCCCUUAUGGACUUCUACACCCAUUGUCGAUUCCACGUCGACCAUGGUCUUUAGUUUCCAUGGACUUCAUCACGGACCUGCCAUCAUCGAACUCAUUCGACAACAUCUUUGUCGUAGUAGAUCGACUUACAAAGAUGACACACUUUGUUCCUUGCAAGAAGACAUCGUUCAGUGUAAUCACAGCGAGGCUCUUUCUCAAUAAUAAGUAUCAUUAUCGUGGACUACCAAAUGAUAUCGUAUCAGAUCGAGGAACGCAGUUUGUAUCAAAGUUUUGGAGAUCUCUUUUUGUGAUACUGAAGGUGGAUAUCAAGCUUUCUUCGGCUUUCCAUCCUCAAACUGACGGCCAAACGGAACGGGUGAACCAAGUCUUGGAACAAUACUUACGAUGCAGCAUCAACUAUCAGUAAGACGAUUGGACCGCAUAUCUAUAGCUAGCCGAGUUUGCAUAUAACAACAUCCUCCAUGCGUCGACUCAAUACACACCAUUCUUUGCAAACUAUGGGUAUCAUUUUAAGCUUGAUUUAUUGAGUCUGUCAACAAAUAACAAUCCAUCAGCUGAAGGACUUGCGAAGCAACUAUCAGAGCUUCAAACUACGUUGAAGCUUCAAUUACAAUCCGCUCAAGAAUCCUACAAGGCAUCUGCAGAUAGAUUUUGGAAUCAAGCACCUACUUUCAAAAUUAGAGAUAAAGCAUGGCUUCUUCGAUGGAAUAUUAAGAUCAAGCGACCAUGUGAUAAGUUGGACUAUCGAAGAUUGGGACCAUUUAUCAUCCAAAAGCAAAUCAAUCUAGUGGCGUACCAUCUAGAAUUACCGGCUUCUAUGAAGGUACAUCCAGUCUUUCAUGUUUCUCUGUUGGAGCCUUAUCGAGAGUCGUCCUUUCUUGGAAGAGUGCAAUGUUCGCCACCUAGUAUUGAGAUCGAGAACCACGAGGAAUACGAGGUCGAAAAGGUGCUGGAUUCACGGCAAAGGUGGGGUAAGUUGGAGUAUCUUGUUCAUUGGUGCGGCUACAACAUUAAUGAGCGAACGUGGGAACCAGCUGAAAAUCUUGCCAAUGUGCCACAAAAAGUACAGGAGUUUUAUCAACAACAUUCUCCUAAACCUAAGUCGGUUCGACGAUAGCUUCCUUCUGAAGCUUGUUCACCUAAGAAUAUAAGAAAGGGGGAGAGCAUGACCAAAACUCGUAGUUGAUAAAGUAGAAUUUUUUCAAUAGCCUUCUGAUAUGGAUAGCCAAGAGAUAGAUACUAUACCAAUCAGAUUAUCUCAAUUGACUAGCUCACAAAGGCGACCCCGAGAUGAAGGACCGCCUAUACCACGACGACAAUAGAGGAUAUCGAGUAACCGAUUACUGGUGAUUGUAUUUGAGUUCGAGUCUACUUACGAUGGUCAGCCAGAAGGCGUGUUUGCAGGACAAUUUUACAAUGAGGACACAGAAGUUCAUGCUUGGCCAGAAUUUGAAGGUGUGGGCCACUACCGUUGGCUUUAAGGGCCGAUGAACCACUUGCCUCGUGAACAACAGUUGGAGUUCAUAGCAGACGUUAUGCGACAGAUCUUCAUUUUCUUGUUUUGGUACUGAUUAACAAUAAUAUUGCUUCUCAGAGACCUCGAAGCUAAAUGAGGGGGUGAUGUUAGAGACAUAGUCCUUAGAACCUUCUAGAAGCAAGUCUCUGGAACCUUCUAGAAGCUUCUUAGUUGGUAGAAGUUGCUUGAGAAGCUUCCUAGUUGGUGGAAGUCGCUUGAGAAGCUUCCUAGUUGGUGGAAGUCGCUUGAGAAGCUUCCUAGUUGGUAGAAGUUACUUGAGAAGCUUCCUAAAUAGGAAUAUAUAUUGGAAUCGAGGCUGAAGAGUUCUUCAGUCUCGACAACACAUCUCUUGGAGCUCUAGCUCACCUCUCUGGUGUUCUUCUUGUAUUCAUCUGAUUAAUCUAGUUCUUGCCAGUUCUUCUUGAACUUCUUGUUAGAUCUCGAGCUUGUAUUUCUGUGUCCGUGACACUUAUUCUUCAAAUAAUUUAACUUAAAAGCAAUAUGAUAGUAUAAUUAUGUAGAUUUUUUUUUUCUUUUUCCUCAAAUACCAUGAAAAUAUUGUUUCUUUGAGUUUCUAUUAGGUCAAUUUUAAGGAGUAGUUUUUAAUUGAAAAAAUACCACGUUUAUAAUUUCUAAAAUUCAUGAUUUAAAAUUUAUAAAAAUUUACAAAUAAAAAGGUAUAUAUUUUUAAAAUUUUCAAAAUCAAGGUAUAAGGUAAUAUAUUUAGACUUUUGAUAAAAAGUUGGUUUGAUCUUUUUUAUGGUAUUUUCUUUUAUUAAAUUACAUCUAAAAGAAACUUUUAUUUGCCAAGUAAAAGACUUUAGUAUGACUUCUAAAUUAUGGCCUUUAGAAUAGAGAUUUAAGAUAUAGAUAUCUUUUAAGACUAAGAUAAUAUAAUAGAUGUAUUGACAAUAUUGUAGAUAACCAUAUUUUAAUCUUGAUAUAAAUUGGCUUUCAAACAUGUUAUAAUCAUUGAUUUUAUGUGUUAUUAAAUUUAAUAAAAUAAUAUUGUGGCUACAAAAGUUACUUUUUAUACAAAUUAAAGCUAUGAUAUUAUAAAAUAAAUUACAUUUCAUGAGACGUUUCUAUUGACUUUAAUGUUAAUUCAAUGUAAUUAGUGAACAAUCUACUCAUUUUAUAAUAUAUGUGUAUACAAGUUGGAAGAUACAAUGCCUUGGUACACAAUUUCUUUAUCAUAGUAUCCUACAUAAAUAAAAAUAUCAAAUUACAAAAAUUUAAAAUUUAAAAUUUACUAUUAUAGUUUUUUAAAGAUUUAGUCCAUGCAAACCAUUAGAUUAAUUUCAACAUCAUUAUAUUAUAUUAUUAAAAAAUCAUUUUAAUUUAUUAUGUAAUACAUAAAUAUAUUAUUAUUUUAUUUAUCAAUUAAAUGCUUAAAUUUUAUAUUUUUCUUAAUUUAUAUCAAAAAUAAUGAUUUUUUAAUUGCUUGGUUUGUUAAUUUAGACAAAAAUAGACUAUAUUUUGUAAUUAAAAUUAAAAAUUUUAGAUAUUCAUGAAUAAAUUUUAAUAUUAUAUUUUUUGUUUAAAUUUAUUCUGAAUAAUUAAUAAUAUCUAAAUUUGAUUUUUGUUUUUAUUUUUUAUUUUUUAAAUAAAUAUUGUACAAAUCAACUAUUUUAUGCUUGUUAUACUAUAAGUUAGAUGUAUGAGAAAAUUAUUGUUUUUAUGUUUUUUUGUUUUGUUUUGUUUUUUUUUUUAUGUAUCAUUAUUGGAAAAUAGUAGUAAAAUAAUGUAAAUUAUAAUUAAUUAAUUUAGAAAUUGUAUUAGUGCACUCAUGGACAUCAUAUAUUAUUUUUAAAAUAAUAUUUUUUAAGAAAUAAUACUUUUAUUAUAUAUAUUAUUAUCUUAUAUAUAUAAUUUAAAAGUAGUGCAUUAAAUCAUAUAGGAAUUACAAUAUUUUAAAAUUCUUUAACUUAUUUCAUACACAACAAGAAACUUAUUGAUGAUGGAACUACUAUCUAUUUAAUAAUGAAAAUAAGUACCAUACAAAGAAAAAAAAUUAUAAAUUUAAUUUUUUAAUUAAGAAUAAAUAGAAAAAAGAAAAAUAAAAACAUAAUCUCCUAACUUAGAAAAUGAAAAAAUAUCAGUCUUGGUAUAUGGUUCUUUGCUCAACAUUUUAUGACAAAUUCUUGACGGUUGUUUAAAAUAAUAAUCUAUAACUUCAAUACACUCAUUGUCAUGACAAGAAGGAUUGGUGUCACAUCCUUUUACAAUUAUUGCGUAUAUUUUGUUCCACUGUUAGCAAUAGUAUCAAUCCAAUUUUGGUUCUCAACAUAUUUUGAUACUUCAUUUAGACUAUUAGGAAACAAAUGGUGCUAUUAUUAUUAAAUUAAAUUGUGAGAAAAACAACAUUGUCUAGAUUGCAAUGUUAAGUUCAACCUUCACAUACAAAUUAACAAGUACAAUUUUGGAAAACUGCCAACAAAACUCCAAUCGUCAGAAGAGUAAAAACACUUCAAGGGAUUUCAAAGUCACAUAGCUUGCAAAUCUAGAGUCUGUAAGAAGAGACCCAAGUCACCAAGAAUAGCAAUUGACAUCAAUGACCAUCGUAUUUGAUGCAAAAUGUCAAAGACCAGAAGAGUGAACGAAUUGCUCUUAUUCAGGAAUUGGAAAAGAUUCAGGGAAUAUGACGUCCAGUUGUACAGCAUUGAAAAUACAUACAGAGCCAUACGGUACCGUAUGAGAUGAGCCCCCAAAAAGAUCCAGGAAGUCUAUUCGGGGAACCGACAGAGGCAAGCAAGCAGGCAAGCAAGAGUGGGCUUUUCUGGAAACCUAGGGUUAGGGUUCCGGCUGGGCUUCCACGAGCUUCCUCAGGCUUCGACGCUCUUCGCAGCCGUCGAUACAAAAGCCUCUUGACUUCCUUUCCUCAGCAUUCUCGUUCUUCAGAUCGUCGAGAUACCGUGUGUGCGUUCGGGUAGUUCUCGGAGGAUUGCGACUGUAGGGAUUGUGUCUUCGCGAAGAGUGAUUUACAGCGAGCGCAGUCCGCUAUGGCCGGCAAGGGCGAGGGUCCUGCCAUCGGUAUUGAUUUAGGUACCACGUACAGUUGCGUGGGAGUAUGGCAGCAUGACCGCGUUGAGAUCAUCGCUAACGAUCAGGGGAACAGGACCACCCCCAGUUAUGUCGCAUUCACCGACACGGAGCGACUCAUUGGGGACGCCGCUAAGAAUCAGGUGGCAAUGAACCCCACCAACACCGUGUUUGGUGAGUUUUUCUUUACUCAGGUUUAUCACAAUUUUCCUCUCCUCUUAUGGACGUUCAAUGAUUGGUCUGUUGGCACUGCUAGGGAAUAUCUUAUGCGGAGUGUCUAAACAGUUGGAACUACUAGCUUUGUGAUGAAUGUGUUGAGUAUUUUUCAAUUUAUUUUUGACUGCUGGUCAAGUACUAUAGUGCAUGCUUUGCCACGUGUGUCUUGGCACUUGUGCGUUGGUGUUGAGUAUUGCAUGCGGCUUCUGUACUGAGAUAUCGUGUGUACGGGUUCCAUCAUGGGAACAUUCGUCGUAAGCUCAGAUGGAUGUGACUGGAAAUUGUUCUUUCCUUGCGUUUUUCUGUCUGUACGUGAAUGUGUGGCAUGUUUGAGCCAAUCAUCCUUUGAUUUUUGUGUCCAGGAUUUUCUCUGAAUCAGUUGAAGUUCGCUCACUCUUAUCAGCACUAAGUUUUGGUUGCCUGAUCUUUUACAUUCUUUGUGUUACAGAUGCUAAAAGGCUGAUUGGAAGGCGUUUUAGCGAUGCAUCUGUUCAAAGUGACAUGAAGUUAUGGCCAUUCAAGAUUACUCCUGGACCGGGAGAGAAGCCCAUGAUCAGUGUACAGUACAAGGGAGAAGAAAAAACUUUCGCUGCUGAGGAGGUUUCUUCUAUGGUGCUCAUCAAGAUGAAAGAGAUCGCCGAGGCUUACCUAGGAUCCACUGUGAAAAAUGCCGUGGUGACUGUGCCUGCUUACUUCAAUGACUCGCAGAGACAAGCAACUAAGGAUGCCGGAGUCAUUGCCGGUUUGAACGUUCUUCGUAUCAUCAAUGAGCCUACCGCUGCUGCAAUUGCUUACGGAUUGGAUAAGAAGGCAACUUCUGUAGGAGAGAAGAAUGUAUUAAUCUUCGAUCUAGGAGGCGGUACUUUCGAUGUGUCUAUACUGACCAUCGAGGAAGGUAUCUUCGAGGUUAAGGCCACUGCCGGAGAUACCCACUUGGGCGGGGAGGACUUUGACAACAGGAUGGUGAACCACUUCGUUCAGGAGUUCAAGCGUAAGUACAAGAAGGAUAUCAGCAGCAACCCCCGUGCCCUGAGGAGGCUGAGGACCGCCGCCGAGAGGGCAAAGAGGACACUGUCAUCGACUGCUCAAACCACCAUCGAGAUCGAUUCUCUGUACGAGGGUGUAGACUUCUACUCCACCAUCACCCGUGCUCGAUUUGAGGAAUUGAACAUGGACAUGUUCAGGAAGUGCAUGGAGCCAGUGGAGAAGUCCUUGAGAGACGCUAAGAUGGACAAGUCCUCCAUCCAUGAUGUCGUGUUGGUAGGGGGAUCCACCCGUAUUCCUAAGGUGCAGCAGCUGCUUCAGGACUUCUUCAACGGCAAGGAGUUGUGCAAAUCCAUCAAUCCCGACGAAGCCGUGGCUUACGGUGCCGCUGUCCAGGCAGCUAUAUUAUCUGGAGAGGGUAACGAGAAGGUCCAGGACUUGCUAUUGCUGGAUGUCACUCCAUUGUCCCUAGGACUUGAGACGGCCGGGGGUGUGAUGACAGUAUUGAUCGCGAGGAACACGACAAUUCCCACCAAGAAGGAGCAGGUAUUUUCAACCUACUCAGACAACCAGCCCGGAGUGCUGAUUCAGGUUUAUGAGGGUGAGAGGGCUAGGACGAGGGACAACAAUCUGCUCGGUAAGUUCGAGCUUUCCGGGAUUCCCCCUGCCCCCCGUGGUGUGCCACAGAUUACCGUGUGCUUCGAUAUAGAUGCAAACGGUAUCUUAAACGUGUCUGCCGAGGACAAGACGACGGGACAAAAGAACAAGAUCACCAUCACCAACGACAAGGGUCGUCUAUCAAAGGACGAAAUUGAGAAGAUGGUUCAGGAGGCUGAAAAGUACAAGUCUGAAGAUGAAGACCACAAGAAGAAGAUUGAGGCAAAGAAUGGGCUCGAGAACUACGCCUACAACAUGAGGAAUACUAUCAAGGAUGAGAAGAUUGCAUCCAACUUGGACGCAGCUGAUAAGAAGAAGAUUGAGGACGCAGUUGAGGCUGCUAUCCAGUGGUUGGACCAAAACCAACUUGCGGAGAGCGAUGAGUUCGAAGACAAGAUGAAGGAAUUGGAGGGUGUGUGCAACCCCAUCAUUGCCCGCAUGUACCAGGGUGGCGCUGGAGGUGGUGAGGGUGCCGCCCCAUCAUAUGGAGGAACCGACUCUCCACCAUCUGGCGCGGGACCCAAGAUCGAGG